CAAAUUAAAUGCUGACUUCCCUAAAAUUGUAUAACAAUUCUUUUUUGCUUUAAGUCUGGCUGUGAUUUUCCAGGCCCGCUCACUUGUGUUGUUCUCUUUCCUGGAUGAUGGCUCCAAGCACCCACACGAAUUCCUCUCCCAUGAGUCCCUUCUGGGGUGAAACUCCAGAUUCCUUUAUUUCUGAUCAUUUUCCAAGCCCCCCCAGUCCUUGCCAGGUGCCUUUGAAAAUCUCCAUGUCCUUCUUUCCACUUUCACAUGCAUAGGAACCUGAGUCUGAUGAGGUGGCCCGUGUUACAAUUU
rnacentral:lncRNA from 1 species